CUUCAGGCUUUGUAAUGCACAUGCCACAUUUCAGAGAUGCAUGAUGAGCAUAUUUUCAUAUUACAUUGAUACUUGCAUUGAGGUGUUCAUAGAUGAUUUUACUGUGUAUGGUGAUUCAUUUGAUGCAUGUUUACAUCAUUUAACUUCUGUUCUUGAGAGAUGCAUUGAGAAAAAUCUUGUUUUGAAUUAUGAGAAGUGUCAUUUUAUGGUGGAACAGGGAAUUGUUUUGGGUCAUGUUGUCUCUAAUAGGGGUAUUGAGGUGGAUAAAUCUAAAAUUGAUUUAAUUGUGAACUUACCCUACCCUACAACUGUGAGGGAAGUACGCUCUUUCUUGGUCAUGCAGGUUUCUAUCACAGGUUUAUUAAGGAUUUCUCUAAGAUAGGAUUGCCUUUGUCUAGACUCUUGCAAAAAGAUGUUCCUUUUAAGUUCAGUGAAGAGUGCAAGGAGGCUUUUGACAAAUUGAAAUUUGCAUUGACAUCGAGUAUACCGUUUGAAAUUAUGUGUGACGCGAGUAAUUAUGCAGUGGGAGCAGUUUUAGGGCAGCGUGUUGGGAAGCUCUUUCAUGUGAUUUAUUAUGCAUCCAGAACACUCAAUUUAGCUCAGCGCAAUUAUUCUACGAUCGAAAAAGAGUUUUUGGCUAUAGUUUUUGCUGUAAAUAAAUUUCGGUCAUAUUUACUUGGUUCUAAAAUAAUUAUAUUCUCUGAUCAUGCAGCGUUGAAGUAUCUCUUAGCAAAGAAGGAAGCAAAACCAAGG
rnacentral:misc_RNA from 1 species